rnacentral:rRNA from 1 species
UUUCAUGAGAGUUUGAUCCUGGCUCAGGAUUAACGCUGGCGGCGUGCAUAACACAUGCAAGUCGAACGAUGAAACUCAUUAGAUUUCUUCGGAAUGAAAAUGAAUGGAUUAGUGGCGAACGGGUGAGUAACGCGUGAGUAACCUGCCUUACACAAGGGGAUAGCCUCUGGAAACGGAGAAUAAUACCCUAUGAAACUAAUAGCUUGCAUAAGCUUUUAGUCAAAGUGCUUAGCGGUGUAAGAUGGACUUGCGUCUGAUUAGCUAGUUGGUGA